GGAGAGGUGGCCGAGCGGUUGAAGGCGCACGCCUGGAAAGUGUGUAUACGCUAACCGCGUAUCGAGGGUUCGAAUCCCUCCCUCUCCGCCA
rnacentral:tRNA from 1 species